rnacentral:miRNA from 1 species
CGGGUGGAGCCGCCGCAGGUGCAGGGUGGUAGUAGCAAAUAUUCAAACGAGAACUUUGAAGGCCGAAGUGGAGAAGGGUUCCAUGUG